rnacentral:rRNA from 1 species
UACGUUCACCGAAGUCAAGCAUCAUUGGGCGCGGUCAGUACUUGGGUGGGUGACCACCUGGGAACACCGCGUGCCGUU